rnacentral:lncRNA from 1 species
AAAAAAAACUAGCCUAAAAUAAAAUUUAAGAAAACUCUCUACGUUUGUCUUUGACAGCUUUGAUAUUGAAAAUAGCGGUACCGGGUCAUGUUUAUUUAAGAUUUUAAGAAGAUGUUAGAAUGGACAUAGUUAUUUUCUAACUAUGUCCAUAUAUUGGGAGGUGCAUGCAAAGAUAUAUUAGGUUUAAGCAGAGUACUAUGUCUGCCUUUGCCGCUGAACGAAGAAAGAUGUAACAUAUGUUCGAAAAUUAAAUCGGAAAGCAACUUUCUUUUCGAAAUCGGCUAAGUACGAACUGUUGCUAGGGUAUCGACGCCGCCCGGUUUUGGACUAUGUACAUGCAUCAAUUGCAUUUGUGUGUGUUAAGCCUGUGUGCGCGCCCUGCGCCGCUGCACCCAAGCCCUAGGUCAGUACUCCUCGGUGCAUCCAGCUGAAUGUAUCGCGCGUCGUCUCGUCGGAAAACCAAAUUACAAAGCAAAUAUGGCAUUAAAACGCACGAUUCUAGUGCCUAAUACUAACGGACGGGGAACGAAGGCAAAAAAAUCGUUUCACGGAAAUAGGAUUUCAGUUUUCGAACGUUCUCCUUUGUCCGCCGCCAUGUUGGAUCCGCGAUUUCGAGAAUGCAAGAUAGAGUCAAUCCGUGGAUGACUGCAAUGCGUCUAACAGAAUCAUGAUACGUCUCUGAAAAUGGAGAAAUGAGUGAAAUCUAAAGAUGGUGGUGUUAGAAAAUACCAAUGGGAAAUGGCAUGGCAUCAGAUAAAAAGUAAGUACCUGAAUACUAACGUAACAUUACUCGAAAACUUUACUUUUCUAUCAAUUAAAGAAACAUUUUCUGGAAUCGAUUUAUUAAUUCCAAGGAUUAUGCCCCUACGUUCGGCCGCUACUAACUGGCGUCACCUGUUUCACGAUUUUUCCAUAAAUACCAUAACACGUGUAAGAGGCGCGUGUUUCAGCGUUUAUGGAAAAGUAGUUCUAUUUAUAGAAGAAUAAGUUUCAUGCCAACAAAUUGAACACAAUUUUUCGUGUUUCCCCAUACGAAAUUUUUACACUUCUAUA